AGACAGAUGGUCAAAGCUGCUGGUGGUCCCUGGCAGGGAGCACAAGAAGGCAGUGAGGUCAAGCAGAUCUCACCAACCUCAUCCCAGAAGGAUGGCUCAGGAGAUCAUCUUACACACUGGGGACAAACUUUAGGACCCAGGACAUGUCUGCUUCCUGCUCCUGGACUGUUUUGGGCUUCUUCCUUAUCUACAGUCUGACUCACAACCACCCAUACCCCUUGGAAGUUUGGGAGUCAGCAGGGAUCCAAGAUGGAUGACGACAGGAUUCAAGUGGAUGCCAUUUGCUCUUUAUUAUUAUUGUUUUCUUGUAAAGAAGGAGACAAAAUGUAACAGCCAAAUUCAACAAUUAUAAAAAGAAAGAGAGA
rnacentral:lncRNA from 1 species